AGUGAACGCUGGCGGUAGGCCUAACACAUGCAAGUCGAACGGCAGCACAGUAAGAGCUUGCUCUUACGGGUGGCGAGUGGCGGACGGGUGAGGAAUACAUCGGAAUCUACUUUUUCGUGGGGGAUAACGUAGGGAAACUUACGCUAAUACCGCAUACGACCUACGGGUGAAAGCAGGGGAUCUUCGGACCUUGCGCGAUUGAAUGAGCCGAUGUCGGAUUAGCUAGUUGGCGGGGUAAAGGCCCACCAAGGCGACGAUCCGUAGCUGGUCUGAGAGGAUGAUCAGCCACACGGGAACGGAGACACGGUCCAGACUCCUACGGGAGGCAGCAGAGGGAAAUAUUGAAAAAUGGGCGCAAGCUUGACCGACCCAACCCGGGUGGGGGAAAAGGGCUUUGGGGUUAUAAGCCCUUUUUGUGGAAAAAGAAAAGCAGCAGGUUAAUCCCCCGCUGUUCUGACGGUACCAAAAAAAUAAGCACCGGCAAACUUCGUG
rnacentral:rRNA from 1 species